rnacentral:sRNA from 2 species
AUGGUCCACGCGUCCACGUCGUUUCUGAGGGCGCCGUCCGCACCCACCUGACGACUGCUCGCCAGGUUUUGUGAGUU